UUUUGUUGUUGAUGCGUGGUUUGAAGAGAGGUGAUGGAUGUCCGCAUGGUUCUGGGGGGUCCAGAUAAUGUUCUCCUGGCCAAUAAUCCUGACACAGGAAGUGGAUGUUUGAAGCAUCCCUGUGAGGACCAGGACAGAAGCUCCAGCCCAUCUGUCCUUCGUUCUGUGACCACCACAGGGAAGGAAGGUCUGCUGAACAGGAAGAGACCAUUUGUUGGAAGAUGCUGUCACUCAUGCACACCCCUGAGUCAGGAGAGGCUGUUUAACCCCAGCAUCCCUUCACUAGGGCUCCGUAAUGUGAUUUACAUCAAUGAAACGCACACAAGACACAGAGGUUGGCUUGCACGGAGGCUGAGUUAUGUGCUGUUUGUCUUGGAGAGGGAUGUCCGGAAGGACAUGUUUGCCCGCAAUGUGGUGGAGAACGUGCUCAACAGCAGCAGGUACCAAGGUGCCAGCACAGAUGCAGAGUCUGGAGUGGAUUCCAAAGCUGUCAGUAAAGUUAGACGGAAGACCAGAGGAUUCCUGCAGGAAAUGGUUGCCAACAUCUCACCGGCCUUCAUCAGAAUAACAGGAUGGGUGUUGUUGAAAUUGUUUAAUGGAUUCUUCUGGAGUAUUCAGAUCCAUAAAGGUCAGCUGGAGAUGGUGAAGAAAGCAGCAUCUGAGAACAAUGUUCCCCUGGUCUUCCUUCCUGUUCACAAGUCCCACAUAGACUACCUGCUCAUCACCUUCAUCCUGUUUUGUCACAACAUCAAAGCCCCUCACAUCGCAGCCGGCAACAACCUUAACAUCCCUAUAUUAAGCACACUAAUACGGAAGCUCGGAGGAUUUUUCAUUCGUCGUAAACUGGAUGAGACUUCAGACGGAAAGAAGGAUAUGUUAUACAGAUCACUGUUACAUGCAUACACAGAAGAAUUGUUGCGGCAGCAGCAGUUUCUGGAGGUGUAUUUAGAGGGCACACGCUCUCGCAGCGGGAAGCCAUCUCCAGCACAUGCAGGCAUGCUCUCAUUUGUGGUUGACACAUUAUGUGCCAACAGCAUCCCCGAUGUCCUGAUCGUGCCUGUUGGUAUCUCAUAUGACCGCAUUAUAGAAGGAAACUACAACAGCGAGCAGCUGGGCAAACCCAAAAAGAAUGAGAGUCUGUGGGGAAUUGCUUGUGGCGUGUUCAGGAUGCUCCGGAAGAAUUACGGCUGUGUGCGUGUGGAUUUCACGCAGCCCUUCUCCCUUAAGGAGUACCUGGACACACAGCGCAGUCGCCAUCUCCAGGCCCCUCUCACAUUGGAGCAGAUCCUUCUCCCCACAAUCAUCGCUGCACAACCUGAUCAGGCUGUUUUUAAUGGAGAAGAUGAGGAUCAUCUGAAUUCUAGAGACCUGUCAGAUGAGCCCCGGAGGAGGCAGGUCAUCGCUAACCUGGCUAAGCACGUUCUUUUCACCGCCAGCAAGUCAUCAGCAAUCAUGUCCACUCACAUCGUGGCCUGUCUCCUCCUGUAUCGGCACAGACAGGGUGUACUGCUGUCUAAACUGGUGGAGGAUUUCUUCAAUAUGAAGGAAGAGAUCUUGUCACGGGACUUUGACCUGGGUUUUUCUGGGAAUUCGGAGGAUGUGGUCAUGCAUGCGCUUAGCCUUCUGGGAAACUGUGUGAAUGUCACCAGCACCAACAGAAACACAGAGUUCAUCAUCGCUCCUAGCAACACUGUACCUGCACUCUUUGAGCUCAAUUUCUACAGCAAUGGCCUUUUCCACGUCUUCAUUGCAGAUGCCAUUAUAGCUUGCAGCGCACUGGCCCUGCUGAGAGAGCAAUCUGCAACUUCAGUGAGUGGGCAGAAUUCUUCAUCUAUGCUGCUCAGCCAAGAGAGACUGAUCCGCAGAGCUGCAGGCCUCUCCCACUUUCUGUCCAAUGAGGUGGCAGUAGCGGUGCCAUGUCAGACUUUGUACCAGGUCUUCCAUGAUGCUGUCACCAGGCUAAUUGAAUAUGGUGUGCUCAUUGUAGCGGAGGUAAGCUUCGCCAGCUCUCAUUUGUCCUGUUCCUUAAGUUUUUUUAAUUUAAAGCUGCAAUUCCUCAGCGUUGAGGUGAGCCCAUCAGCUGAGCCCCAGGAAUUUUAUACUUUUCUUCAGAGGAUUCUCACUCCGGUGCUGGAGGCCUACAGUGGUGCAGCCAUCUUUGUACACAGCCUGAUAUCGCCCAUGUCAGAGAGAGAGUACACACACAAGCUUUUCAAGUAUCUGCUAACUCGCACAGAGAGAGGAGUGGCUGUAUAUGGAGAGAGUGCCACACACUACCUCGUAAAAAAUACAGUGAAAACAUUUAAAGAGCUGGGGGUGCUUAAAGAGAGGCGAGAGGAUGGUGUGUGCCGUCUGGAGCUGAGCAGCACUUUCUUACCUCAGGCCAACAGAAACAAACUCCUGCAGUACAUUCUGGGUUUCAGUCUGCUGUGACACAUUAGGACCAUCGACACAGUUGCGCGACUUUCCACACCACUCAAGGGCUUUUUACUGGCUAAUCAUGACUGUCAAAGGUGCUACUCUAAGGAAAGCUUUACCUGGAAGUGCCUUCACUAAACACCUCAUACUAGACUUAAGUUAGUCUUCCUUCACUGAAUAACCCUCCCCGAUACACAAGUAGUUCUAUCAGCUCUUUCGUUUACCAGAAGCUUCCAUUCACAAAAUACUAUCCCAGUUUUGCCAGUGAAAGCAUUUGGUUUUCAGCUAAAUUGGGUGUCUUUAUAGCUCUGAAUGUUUUUAUGGUGUUAGUUUUUGACUCAGAUCAGUACAUGAACGUCACUCUUUAUGAGGUCGUCUUCAGUUCUAACAAACACGCAUCACUGGCAUGAUGGCUGGUGUUUAGAAAUUUUUAAAAAGGGCAUUUGAUUUUCUUUUUAACUUUCACUGUUACUGUCAGAGCAUGUAUAGAAAUCGCCAUUAUCUUGCAGAGAAUAGAAAGACAAAGCAUCUUUCGAUAACAUGUGAAUACAUCAUAAUGGAAAUAGUGACUCGUUUUGAAAAAUAUGGAGCAAACGUCCAAGUAGUUGAUGAGAGUAGUUUAGGUCAUGUUUAUUCACUUUGUCACAUCCCAUCAUGGGUGCAAUCGGAGAUCCAUGAAGGACAAACAGUAGAUACAUGUAAUGGUUUUAGCAGGCCUAGAGGAUCAUGAGGGGGAAACUUUACUGGAAACUGAGCUUGAAUGCUUCUGCUUGGCUGACCAUUACAAGAUAUGUUUGUAAUAUUCGGAGGAGGUUCUCUUGCUGCCAAGCACUUUGAUUUCCUCCUCAGUUACUGGUGUAUUUUAUUUUGGAGUUAAGUUCCUUGGCAGUGAGUCUUCUAUGCUCAGUGUGUGUGCAUGUGUGCAGUAUGUCUGUAGUAUGUGAAUUAAACUCUAUUUAUGCCAUAAAUUUGUCUCAAAGCACAAUAUAAGCAGAAUGCUAAAAAAAAAAAAAAAAAAAAGGUACGUUGCCUUCAUAACCACUGGAAUAUUGUGUUUGUUGUUGAAUAUAUAGAGAGCCUGUGGGCAGGCAAAAGUUGAGGAUACCCUGUAAUGUCCCAAAACUGCAAUUUACUUUACCUCAUCUUCAUUCCGUUGUUAUUAUCUGCUCUUUAGAAAGCCUUUUCUGCUGAUUUAUCAUUUCCAACUUCAUUUGUCAUGUGUUUUGUAUUAUCCCGACUAUGACCCCAUGCUUGUUUUGACAAGUCGAAGAAAACUCAUUUGUGUGUCAGCCUCUAGACGUUGCUAUGCAAUGGACUUGUUUUUACUGUGCAAGAAUGUAGUUGGCAGGCAUGCACACUUUGCGUAGGCUACAGAGAUUAAAAAGAUACAUGCUGCUCCCACGAUCUUGGAAAAAUCUGAAAGGAUCCACUUAUUUAAAGGCUGUGAGCUCCUGGGCUUGGCAAAUUGUGGAAGUCUUUGCAUAUCAAAUCAGUUAUGAUCUGCUGCUCUAUGCUGUUUAUCUAUGUUGUUUUUAAAUCCUUAUCCAAUAAUCUUGGACUACAGGAAAAGUGAGGGAAAUUCAUUGGUCAAAAAGAGUGGGAGCCCUGGUAGAAUAUAUAAAUAUAUAAGCUUACUUAUGUCAUGACUUACCCGAGCAGCUCAAAUUGCUAAGUUGUAUAUUAUUUUUGAAGUGACAUUGAAAGUGUUUUAGAGACUGAAUCAAAGCUGUGAAGGUUUGUUCAGAUACACAAGGCAUAUUUUAACAAUUUGCACAAAAUCGUUGUGUGUGUCUAUAAGGCUGCAAAUAUUCAGCUUUAAAUUACAAUUAAAUGUGUUUUGAAUGGAAUAAUUCAUGUUGCAUGAUAAAUUGGAAAAUAAAUUGAGUUUAAAAAAAGUAUCA
ensembl:lncRNA